GUAUAUAUAAUUUACUAAAAAUAUCAGACUGUGACUCUGAAAAUAGAAGCCAACAACUUCUUAUAUACC
rnacentral:tRNA from 1 species